AGAGUUUGAUCCUGGCUCAGGAUGAACGCUGGCGGCGUGCCUAAUACAUGUAAGUCGAACGGGCAGUUUUUGGGGUAACCUGGGAACUGCUAGUGGCGAACGGGUGAGUAACGCGUGGGCGACCUGCCCCGAAGCGAGGGAUAACAGUUCGAAAGGACUGCUAAUACCCCAUGUGCUCGUUGGGAUUAGAUGCCUGAUGAGUAAAGGAGCAAUCCACUUUGGGAGGGGCCUGCGACCCAUCAGCUAGUUGGUAAGGUAACGGCCUACCAAGGCGACGACGGGUAGGGGGCCUGAGAGGGUGAUCCCCCACACUGGCACUGAAACACGGGCCAGACACCUACGGGUGGCAGCAGUAGGGAAUCAUGUGCAAUGGGCGCAAGCCUGACACUGCAACGCCGCGUGCCCGAGGAAGGCCUUCGGGUCGUAAAGGGCUUUUCUGGAGGAAGAGCAAGGACGGUACUCCAGGAAUAAGGAUCGGCUAACUACGUGCCAGCCGCCGCGGUAAUAC
rnacentral:rRNA from 1 species